GCGGGCAUGGUAUAGAGGUUGUGCCUUAGCCUUCCAAGCUAAUGAGAGGGAUUCGAGUUCCCUUGCCCGCUCCA
rnacentral:tRNA from 1 species